rnacentral:rRNA from 1 species
AGUGAACGCUGGCGGUAGGCCUAACACAUGCAAGUCGAACGGCAGCACAGUAAGAGCUUGCUCUUACGGGUUGCGAGUGGCGGACGGGUGAGGAAUACAUCGGAAUCUACUUUUUCGUGGGGGAUAACGUAGGGAAACUUACGCUAAUACCGCAUACGACCUACGGGUGAAAGCAGGGGAUCUUCGGACCUUGCGCGAUUGAAUGAGCCGAUGUCGGAUUAGCUAGUUGGCGGGGUAAAGGCCCACCAAGGCGACGAUCCGUAGCUGGUCUGAGAGGAUGAUCAGCCACACUGGAACUGAGACACGGUCCAGACUCCUACGGGAGGCAGCAGUGGGGAAUAUUGGACAAUGGGCGCAAGCCUGAUCCAGCCAUACCGCGUGGGUGAAGAAGGCCUUCGGGUUGUAAAGCCCUUUUGUUGGGAAAGAAAAGCAGCAGGUUAAUACCCUGCUGUUCUGACGGUACCAAAAGAAUAAGCAACGGCUAACUUCGUG